rnacentral:rRNA from 1 species
AUUGAACGCUGGCGGCAUGCUUUACACAUGCAAGUCGAACGAGUGGCGCACGGGUGAGUAAUACAUCGGAACGUGUCCUAUCGUGGGGGAUAACUGAUCGAAAGAUCAGCUAAUACCGCAUACGAUUGGAGCGGCCGAUGCCCGAUUAGCUAGUUGGUGAGGUAAAGGCUCACCAAGGCGACGAUCGGUAGCUGGUCUGAGAGGACGACCAGCCAGACUGGAACGGAGACACGGUCCAGACGCCUACGGGAGGCAGCAGUGGGGAAGAUUGCACAAUGGGCGCAAGCCUGAUGCAGCCAUGCCGCGUGUAUGAAGAAGGCCUUCGGGUUGUAAACCUCUUUCGCUAUCGAACGGGUAGGUGGAGAAGAAGCGCCGGCUAACUACGUGCCAGCAGCCGCGGUAAUUC